CCGUUCGCGGACUCCAGCGCCGGUAGUGGCGCGCGCCCGCCUGCGUCCGCACCCGGAAGAGCCGCAGCGGCCGGAAAGUUGAGGUAGUGCGCGGCUCGGGGUCCGCGGGAAGCACAGGUCCUUCAGAGGCCAGACGAAAGCAGCUAGAAGAGGCCUGCGCGCCCUCGCGCAAGGCGGCCCCUCGAGCGGCCGCGCGCACGCCCCGCCUCCUCCGACGCCGCGCGGGCCGGGCCGGGUUGACUACGGGAGCAACGCGGCCCCGGCGACUAAGACAGUGCGUGUUGAGCCCGAACCUCGACUCGAGAUGAACAGUGAGCAGGUCACGCUGGUGGGUCAAGUGUUUGAGUCCUACGUUUCAGAGUACCACAAGAACGAUAUUCUUCUGAUCUUGAAAGAAAGGGACGAAGAUGCUCACUACCCACUUGUGGUCAAUGCUAUGACCCUUUUCGAGACGAACAUGGAAAUUGGAGACUAUUUCACUGUGUUCCCCAAUGAAGUACUGACAGUCUUUGACAGCGCGCUUCGAAGGUCAGCCUUGGCCGUUCUGCAGUCCCUUCCUGAGCCCGAGGGCUUGUCUAUGAAGCAGAAUCUCCAUGCCAGGAUAUCAGGUUUGCCUGUUUGUCCAGAACUGGUCAGGGAACACAUUCCUAAAACCAAGGACGUGGGACACUUCUUAUCUGUCACUGGGACAGUGAUCCGAACGAGUCUGGUGAAGGUCCUGGAGUUCGAGCGGGAUUACAUGUGUAACAAAUGCAAGUAUGUGUUCACGGUGAAGGCUGACUUUGAGCAGUAUUACACCUUCAGUCGGCCAUCUUCAUGUCCAAGCUCAGACACCUGUGACUCCUCCAAGUUCACCUGCCUCUCAGACUUGUCUGCAUCUCCAGCCAGAUGUCGGGAUUACCAGGAAAUCAAAAUUCAGGAGCAGGUGCAAAGGCUGUCUGUGGGAAGUAUCCCACGGUCUAUGAAGGUCAUUCUGGAAGACGACCUAGUAGACAGCUGCAAGUCUGGAGAUGACCUCACCAUCUAUGGGGUUGUAAUGCAACGGUGGAAACCCUUUCAGCGAGAUAUGCGCUGUGAAGUGGAGAUUGUCUUGAAAGCCAACUAUGUCCAAGUGAAUAAUGAACAGUCCUCAGGGAUGGUCAUGGAUGAGGAUGCUCGAAAAGAAUUUGAAGACUUCUGGGAACACUAUAAGAGUGACCCCUUUGCAGGGAGGAAUGAAAUAUUGGCCAGCUUGUGUCCUCAAGUGUUUGGGAUGUAUCUAGUGAAGCUUGCUGUGGCCAUGGUCCUGGCUGGUGGAAUUCAAAGAACUGAUGCUGCAGGAACAAGGGUUAGAGGCGAAUCUCACCUUUUAUUGGUUGGGGAUCCUGGCACAGGGAAAUCGCAAUUCCUUAAAUAUGCAGCAAAGAUUACACCGAGGUCUGUUUUGACCACAGGAAUUGGAUCUACUAGUGCAGGUCUGACAGUGACGGCUGUGAAAGACUCAGGAGAAUGGAAUCUAGAGGCUGGGGCCCUCGUGCUUGCAGAUGCUGGUCUCUGCUGUAUUGAUGAAUUUAACAGCCUCAAAGAACAUGACAGGACCAGCAUCCAUGAAGCAAUGGAGCAGCAAACCAUAAGUGUGGCUAAGGCUGGCCUUGUUUGUAAGCUGAACACAAGGACCACCAUUCUGGCAGCAACUAACCCCAAAGGCCAGUAUGACCCCCAGGAAUCUGUGUCUGUGAACAUUGCCCUCGGCAGCCCACUCUUGAGUCGGUUCGACCUCAUCCUGGUUUUGCUCGACACGAGGAAUGAAGACUGGGAUCGCAUCAUUUCUUCCUUUAUUUUAGAAAAUAAAGGUUAUCCAAGUAAAUCGGAGAACCUGUGGAGCAUGGAGAAGAUGAAAACCUACUUCUGCCUCAUCCGGAAUCUCCACCCCACGCUGUCUGAUGUGAGCAAUCAAGUACUCCUCCGAUACUACCAAAUGCAAAGGCAGAGCGAUUCCCGGAACGCAGCCCGGACAACCAUCCGCCUGUUAGAAAGCCUGAUCCGAUUAGCAGAAGCCCACGCUCGCCUGAUGUUCCGCAGUACCGUGACUUUGGAAGAUGCUAUCACAGUGGUGUCCGUGAUGGAAUCCUCAAUGCAGGGAGGUGCACUGCUAGGAGGUGUGAACGCUCUUCACACUUCCUUCCCUGAAAGCCCACGGGCACAGUACCGGAGGCAGUGUGAGCUCAUUCUGGAAAAGCUGGAACUCCAGAGUCUCUUGCAGGAAGAACUUAGAAGACUUGAAAGGUUACAGAAUGAGAGUGACCAGUGCCAGCCACAUUCACCGGAGGUGGAGGCGGCUCCAGGCUCCUGCAGAAAUGAUCCAAGGGACAGACCAGGCCUCAGGACGCCAACACAGCAGGAACAGAGCUGUAGCUGGAGUCCCGCAGAGAGCUCUGGUGGAGACUCCCCGACAGGUCCAGGGCUUAGUAGACCAACAAGCUGUAACCACAAGGCUGAGGACGGAGGUGGCAGAGGUGACUGUUUAGCCUGGGCCGACCCCACGGCAAGUCCUGAGAUUGCACAGGAAAGCACUAUUGUGUCUCCCGGUCUGAAAACGAUGGAGGAAAAGGAGGAUUUGAAAAUCUCUAACAAUGGAGCUCAGGGCAAGGGGAAGCAUGGGCUCCAGAAAAGAAGCCAAUUACUAAAACCUGGGCGUCUUCCAGCAUCAGGAGCCACAGACACUUCCUUACGGUCUCGCGGCUCUGAGAGUACGAGGGCAAGGCAGGCAGCAGUUGUCUCUGAAGCAGGACGGGAUGAUGACCAAGAGUCUGGACUGACUCAUGGGCCCCGAAGACUCCCCAGGCUGCUGAAGGAGGGGUCCCAGAGUGUGUGCACAACCAGAGUGCGAACACUGCCACCCACGGUCCCCUUUCCCCUGUCCAUCUCUCCACCUGGGCCAGGAAAAAAAACAGGAACACCAAAAAGAAAGAGACAGAAAUCUGCGCAGGUGGAAGCUCCUGGACCUGAAGGUACUGAGACUAUGAGUGCUCCAGUAGUGAAGCUGGCCAAAUUCACGUUUAAACAGAAGAGCAAACUGACCCACUCCCCUGAAGGCCAAGGCCCCAUGCCUCCCAGCGCUAGUAAAGUAGCAGUCGACAGUUCUAAAAUUCCCCGACAAAGAACAAGAAGAGAAGCAGGUGUGCCUGCGGCAGGGCCAGGACAGUCAACAUCCACCUCAGGAGACAGAUGCUCUGAGCAGCUGCAGGGACAGACAAAGGCGCUCUCAAGGCAGCCACCAGAGAGCCAUCGACCGAGAGAGGAGAAGGAGCAGGGCCCCGAAAGAAGGGUUAUUCAGUCUGAACUGGAGCUUGGGAGCCAGGCUGGGCAUUCACAUCCAGCUUGUAAGAAAGACCGAAAGGAAGGGGCUUCCUGCAGUAAUAAAAGCAAGGUUCACGCUGGCACGAUGGCCAGACUGGCAAACUUCUCCUUCACUUCCCCACCAGAAUCCAAAUCAGAAUCCCUCCCUCCUGAAAGGAAGGAGAGCAGGGACAGGAGCCACAACCCUCCUGCGACCACGGCUCCGGUGCUUGGCCAGCAAAGGCAGUCUUUCCAGCUGCAGCAGCCCCCUGAGAGAGUGAAUCUUUCCACCCUCUCCCUCUUCACUCUGUCAGAACUGGAUGACGAGGCGUUAGAUUUUGACUGGGAUGAAGAGAUGAGAAAAAAGCCAUGAUUAUGAAAAGCUUUCUGGUCCGAAUUGUCUCCUCCAGCCCAACCAAGCUCCUUCAAAGAAUACAAGUGGUUACAGGGACCGUUGGAGACCACAGACUUCUGAAUGCACCUGAAGCGUCUUUGCUGUUUGUACUGCCCGAUGACAGCAGGCCAAUUGCAAACACACGAGCUGUGCAUACACAGCAUUGAUGUACAUACAGAGAAGGCCACGGAACGCAGAGGGAAUUGACUACUGUGCUGCAGGCUUCCCGGCUCCGUUCACUCGUGUAUGUGCUGAUCUUCGUAGCUGUCAGAAACACUUAGGUAAGAGCCAAAUGUGUGGGAAUGCAAGGACGCUGUUAAAGUAUAUUUUACAGUUUUCCAGGAUUUGGUUUUUAAACUAACGGUACAGUUGCCAACAAAGUAAGGACUAGAUCCACUCUGAAGAGACAAAAUAUGCUCACAUAAAUUUCAGACCUGCUUUAAUCCUUUGAAUGAUACAGACGUAGUAGUCCAUAAUAAUUUUAAACUGAAAUUACAAAGUUGGUUUCUAAUGUUAUGUUUUAUCAUUGUCAGAAAUUACUUUUUUAAUUAUUUAUUUUAUGUACACUGUCACUGUCUUCACACACACCAGAAGAGGACAUUGGAUUCCAUUACAGAUGGUUGUGAGCCACCAAGUGGUUGCUGGGAAUUGAACUCAGGACCUCUGGAAGAGCAGUCAGUGCUCUUAACCACUGAGCCACCUCUCCAGCCCCAGAAAUUAUUUUUUAAGGUGGGGAAUCUAGCCAAGUGUUGUGGCCAUGUCGCUGUAAUCCUAGCAUUCAGGACAUGGAGGCAGGAGAAUGGCAAGCUUUAGGCCAGCCUAAGAUGUAGAAUGAAUUGAAAGAACCCUGGGCUAUGAACAGACAUCUGUCUCAAACAAACACAAACACACAAACACCACAUGUAAUGCUCAAGCUCGAAAAUAGCUGAGGGACCUUGUGGCAAUCCUGGAAUUUUGGUUUCUUUAAAAAACACAAAAAUAAUAUAAAGAAUAUGUUUUGUUUCAGUCCCAGGCGUAAGGAUAUGACGUUGCUUUGACUCUCUGAAGCAGCGGACUGUAGCUGUCGUGUGCUCCAGCAGAAGUCAGAUGAGCUUGUGCGCCAGUCUAAAUUCUGGGAAGUUUCAGAGAGUAUAAAUGCCAGGGACCCGGGCUGGAGGGAUGGCUCAGCGGCUAAGGGCACCGACUGCUCCUCCAGAGGUCCUGAGUUCAAAUCCCAGCAACCACAUGGUGGCUCACAACCAUCUGUAAUGGGAUCUGAUGCCCUCUUCUGGUGUGUCUGAAGACAGCUACAGUGUACUUACAUAUAAUAAAUGAAUAAAUCUAAAGAACAUUGUUCUUGGUCUUAUAUAGUGUCAAGGGGACCAACCGCAUGAAGUUCUCUGCCUGCAUAGUCCUGGGUCUGACGGUUAUCAUGAGUGAGUGAUGUCACUGGGUUCUGGUUAUCAGGUACAGCCUUGGGUGUAGUGGGGGUUCUUGUCUAAAAAAGGCGAGUUUUACUAUGUUCACCACACUGGACGACAUGGAAGUAACCGCCACAAAUAAAAAUAAAAAUAAAUUAAAAAAAAAAAAAGAAAAAAAUGCUAGGGACCCGGGAGGACGGCUCGGAGGUGGUUGGUAGAAGUUUAUUAGUAGUCAUGCUCAGUGAAAAAAACAAAAGGAAAGAAAUUAGGUUCAGGAAUUUUCCUAAUUCCUCUCUCCCCUCUUUUCGUCUUUCUCUCUUCUCUAACAUAAAGCGGUAAAGCCAGGGGAGGAUAAAGGGUAACAAAAAGAAGAACCCACAAAGUAGCAAAGACCAGCUGCAGGACCUGACAUAUCGGGGACAUGCUUCGCCACCUUCAAAGGAGCUCUGUAAAUAGGGUGUGACACAGCAGGCCCUUGGAGAGGCCACUGCCUCUUGGAUAGCAGCAUCCGUGAGUAGAGCACUGUCUGUGACCCAGCACCUUCUACCCCAACAUCAUUACUUCCUUAGGAAGGCCACAGGAGCCAUAAACUUGUGUUCGUCGCAGUGCAAAAGGACUCCAAAAGGAUCAUUUACUGACAAAACGAAACGGAAACUUUGAGCCAUGAUUAAAUUCAAGUGAAAUGUUUCUAGCUCUAUAUUAAAUGCCAAUUUUCUCAAGUGACUUCUUAUAUCUGUACUGGUUCCAAUACUGCCAAUGCAUACGUUUUCAAGGCAUAUGUAUUACAUGACUUCAUUUUGCCUUCACAAUAACAAGGACUUCUCAUAUUUCAGAUAACAUCCUAUUUUAUAAAUGAGAAAAAUGCUCCAAUAUUUAAGUGAGUUUUUGUUUUGCUUUUACAAAAUAAGCAUACUUUAUUUGCAUGAGGAUUAAAUUCUGUAACAUCCACUUUCUGACUCCUUCCCGGGCUCACUUCUGAAUUCUUCAUUAAAAAUAAUGGCUGUAGAUGAACAGUGAAAACUAUCUGUUGGUAGUUUACUCUAUGCUAAUUAUUUUCAGCAUUUUGAAAGUGUUAACUCAUGUAAUGAUUUUGACAGCAUGUAACUUAGCAUCUCUUCACUUCAGGGACUUUUAAUGAUUGCCUAUCUUCAGACUCUUCUUUCCCGGCCCGUUGUCUUGGUACUUGUAUCUCGGGAUUCUCAGGACCAUCCAUCUUGUACCCAGUGGUCCCUUAUUUGGGCACCUCUUACCUGCCUUUUCAUCAGCAUCUCUUUGAGUGUCAAAGGGAAAUUGCAGCCUCAGCAUAUUUCACAGUCUGAAUUACAGGAUUAACUGUUUCCCUGAACUUAAUCCUUUUCUAUACUUAGCUACCUCAGAAAAUUAUAGGGAGACAGCAUCUUUCCAGUUGUUUACACCCAAGUCUUCAGUGAUCCUUGAAAUUUUACUUCCUUUUGCACCUCACUUCCAGUCUCUUAGCAAAGUCUAUGGACUGUCUAGUUGGUAUUCAUCCAGAAUCUGAGCAUGUCCUACCUUUGCAGUUAGCAUGCCAGUCUAAGCCACUAUUGACUCUGGCCUUGCUGCCCCCUUCAAGCUGUUGUCACAACAAAGGGCCAAAUAACCCCGUCCCCAGGUGAAGUCAGAUCUUGUUACUUCUUACCUCUGCCCUUACCAGCUCACCUGAUGCUCAUUAAAAGACAAAGUUUUCAUAACAAUGAUCUCUAAGGUACGCAUCUCUAAGGAGUUGACCUUUCUUACCGUAUCUCCUUUCUGGUCUCUUCAUGUCUGAACCUAGUCCAGCCACUGAACCUUUUAUUUGCUCUUUUAUCCAUGUGUCCCCAUCCCCUGCCUUUUCCCUGUAUCACCAGGGAAUCAUCCGUCGAGACUCACUCUACACAUUUACACACACACACACACACGUGCGCAAGCACUACAAAAAAUAAAACACCAAAACUCUCCCAGUGAAGCCUACACUAACCCAUUUAAAAUUAUAAAAUAUACCUCGACUUCCCCGGUUUUCCAAUCCAGUGCGUUUUCAAGAUCACCUACCAUACUAUAAAUUACUGACUUCUUUUAUUUCCUGUGCCAACAGUUCAGGGAGAGGAAAGUCUAAAGCAGACUGUAGAGGACCAAUGACUCUCCUAGAUCAACUGCUGUGGUAGAGCUUAGCCUCCUAGCAAAUCCGACAAUCUGUCUCCCAUGGGCACUGAAUUACAGUGUGGGGCAGGAUCUACCCAGGUCUUGUAGGAUGCACUAAUAAAGCUGACAGUGAUAAUGCAUGCCUUUAAUACCAGCAAUCCCCAGAGGCAUAGGCAGGCAAAUCUGAGUUCAAGGCCAUUCUGGUCUACAGUAAGUUCCAGGAUGGCCAGAGCUAUGCAAAGAAACCCUUUCUCAAAAACAACAACUGAUGAAGAUUGGACAGGGACUACUCUUUGCUUCCUUUAGUUCUGUAAGCACGGAAGUAAAUUCUGUCAUUUACUUCAAGAUGUGAUUGACAGCCGUGCCUCUGAGGUGUCUUGGGGCAGCUUGAGGAUCGUUCUCUCCUAUAACCUUGCCUACAGGUAAAGGAAGUAUCUCGUGUAGCUGUUCCACCAUCUUCCAAGUACAAUCCAUUUUAGGUGUGUGUGUGUGUGUGUGUGUGUGUGUGUGUGUGUGUGUGUGUGUGUGUGUGUGUUGUGUGCGUGUAUGUGUAAUCAUGACCUCCAGCCCAUGGUCAGGUAGGCCUACACCACCAGGAUUCUAAUUGUUACCUGACUUACACACCUUCCCUCUGCCUGAGGACCAUGAUUUGUGACAAACUAGGUUUCAUUGUCUAUGCAGACCUUUUAGCCAACAGUUCUUAAAACAUUGUUCUAAUUCAAUGGUCCACAUGAGUUGAGUGGUCUAAUUCAGAGGUCUUGACCCCCUUGGGUGUUGAACACCCCCUUUAAAGGGGUUGCAUAUCAGAUACCCUACAUAUCACAUAUUUAUAUUAUGAUUCAUAACUAACAAAAUUACAGUUAUGAAGUAGCAACAAAAAUAAUUUUUAUGGUUGGGGGCCACCACAUGUAUUAAAGGGUUGUAGCAUUAGAGAGCUUACAUCAAUUCCUUUCCAGGGUGUUAUUGCUUGCGUCUGAACCCAGGCGCCCCAUUAGCCCAUGUGUUGAAUACUUUUGCCCCAGCCAGUGGCAUUAUUUUGGGAGGCUAUAGAACCUUUAAGAGGUGGAGCCUAGUUGGUGGUAGUUAUCUCUGGGAAGCUAGCCUUUGAAAGCCAUAUUUAUUCCUGUAACACAUUCUUUUUGUCCCAGUCCCCAUGAUGAGAACCUUUACCAGGCUCCUGGUAAUGACUGAGGAAAACCCUCUGAAGCCAUGAACUGGAAUAGAUCUUUGAUCAAAAAUGUGGCCUCUGUCAAGCAUUUUGUCACAGCAACACAACAGCACCUGACAGUUACCCAAGUGGGAAAGUUACCCUUGGGGAAGGACUGUGAUAACUGCUAGGGUGUUGAAGAGUUGCUGUUAAAGUGACUCAGGCCUUUGUCUUGAACCUAAGUGUUUGGUUUUGGACCCCAGGACAGAGGACUGAAGUAUAUAUUUUACAUAUCAACGCAGGCCAGGCCUCCAGGUUCUCAAAGCAUUCCUCAGUCCCUACCUACUAUACCCUGCCCCAAAUCUGGAACUUUCCAGCCCCUGCUCCAGAGGUUCCUCCCUAUCUAAUCCAGACAUUCUGCGCACCUCUCUCUCUCUCUCCCCCUCCCUCUCCCUCUCUCUCUCUCCUUCUCUCUCUCUCCUUCUCUGUGUGUGAGCCCUUUCUCUUUCUCUUCCCUCCUCCCCCGUCUCUCCCCAUGACAACUUCCCUGGCCUCAAUCCUCGGGAUCAGUGAACCCACCUGAGUGUAGCUUCCCAACAGACCUGCCUUUAAUGUAAUACUGGAUCAAGUCCAGGAGCUAAGCACAGAAUUGUGACUUUACUGGGCCAGUUUCUCUGAGCCUCCUCACAGUCGAUCACAGUCACCUGAAACCUUGUUAAAAUCCCUACUCCCAAAUUUUCUAUUUAAGUCUGAGCAGGACUCUUUAGAAUUGGCUGGUCUGGGGUUGGGGAUUUAGCUCAGUGUUCGAUCCUCAGCUCCGAGAAAAAAAAAAAAAAGACAAAAUAAUAGAAUUGGCUGGUCUUCCUCAUGGUCUCCCAGGUGACACUGGGGCUACUGGUGGGAGAUCACAGUUUGGAGAGUCAAUGGUAUAGACUGAGCAAUAUAUACAGCCUGCCACUUCUUGCCUCUAGGAACUCUAGUCAUUUCCAUGGUUCUCAGAGUCAGUUUCAAGGCCAAGCCGCUCUCACUUGACUGCUUGGUGACUCUCGUUUUGCACUUGACACCCUGAUAGCUGAUUACUCUAGGAUCUCACACUCCACUCUGCUUAGGGAUUGGCUGUCAGCUCAACCCGAGGAAGGUGUUCAACUCUGGGCUGGAGCUCUGCAGCUGAGGCCCCAAGUGGUGCGGAGCUCGGCCGUGUGCUCUUAGGUGCUUACACUGGCGACUGCAGAAAACAGGUGCAUCCGUCAGAGUGCAAGCGAGGCAGCGGUUUCCGCACCCGCCAUUCAUCUGCCACCAUGUGUCUGGGGCCAAAACACAAGGUUCGAGAUAAUAUCAAAAUUGAGUGAUCAGGAUAAACAUUUGUAAAACUCAAAGUAUUGUUAAAUGGCGAGCAGAAUAUCAAAUUUUUAAAUAACAAUACUUAUUUCUCCUUUGCCACCAGCUCAAAUACAGCUUGACACACUCACUGACGUUUGAACUUGUGGGGACGUCUGCUUUUCUCACAGAUGUACCCCAGGAGUUAGAAGACUGUCGCCCAUAAUACGUAUUCAACGAAUAUUUAUUGGAUGAAAUAUUUAAGACCUUUGAAAGAGUUAUUACCAUUUUCAGCACUUGUUGUUUUCCUUGUCUCUUUCCUGGCUGCUUCUAUAGUGUUUACCAUAUGUCAUAGGCUGUCUCCAUAGGACAGGAAACCUAGAGGAAACAGCAGGUGAUGAACAAAACACCUGAUCAAACAGGGCGCAAUGCAUUACAUGGGGUAAAUCUGAGGUGUGCAUAUGAGCCCCUUUUUAUUUUUGGAUAUUUUAAAAUUUACAUUUCAAAUGUUAUUCCCUUUCCUGGUUUCCCAUCCAUAAGCCUCCCAUCCCAUCUCCCCAUCCCCCUUCUUCUAUGAGGGUGUUCCCCUCCCAAACCAUCCACCCCACCUCCCCGCCCUGACAUUCCCCUAUACGGGGGGGGGGGGGGGCGUCCAGCCUUGGCAGGACUAAGGGCUUCUCCUCCCAUUGGUGCCCAACAAGGCCAUCCUCUGCUACAUAUGCAGCUGGAGCCAUAGGGCUGUUCAUGUGUACUCUUUGGAUGGUGGUUCAGUCCCUGGGAGCUCUGGUUGUUUGGCAUUGUUGUUCUUAGGGGAUUGUAAGCCCCUUCAGCUCUUUCAGUCCUUUCUCUAACUCCUCCAAUGGGACCCCGAUCUCAGUCCAAUGCUGGGAGCAUUCACCUCUGUAUUUCCCAUGCUCUGGCAGAGCCUCUCAGGAGACAGCUACAGCAGACUCCGGUCAGCAUUUACUUCUUGGCAUCAGCAAUAUUGUCUAGGUUUGGUGGCUGUAUGUAUAUGGGCUGAUCCCCAGGUGUGGCAGGCUCUGAUUGGCCAUUCCUUCAGUCUCUGCUCCCAACUUUGUCUCCAUAUCUCCUUCUAUGAAUAUUUUUGUUCCCCAUUUUAAGAAGGACUGAAGCAUCUACACUUUGGUCGUCCUUCUUCUUGAUUUUUUUUUUUUAUCAGCAGACCUUGCCUUAACACAGAUGUCAGCUUCCAGAAAUGUCCGUUCAUUCUUAAAAAAAAAAAAAAAAAAGAGCCUAAACGGGAAACAUUGGUACAGAGCAGAAGUGAAAGUGAAUACUGAGCUCUGGGCCUGGGGGCUGGGGGGUCGGGGGGAGGGUGAUCUUUGGGGGUCUGAGAGGGUGAAGAGAAUGCCUCCUGGGCUGGACUACAGUCAUUUGGCCUGCGAUCCAGGUUGAGGCAUUGCCAGGGCUGCCGGCUCUGUCCCAUAAGCUCCUUCCUAUAUUCAUAGGCAUCUAUAACCAACCCUUUUAAGCCAAUGAAGAGAAGCUAGGAUUCAGAGAAGAACCAGAGAAUCUUAGGUUUUCUGUAGUCAUCAUCCACUACAGAAAAAUGAGACUGUGUCCCACCAAGGCACAGAAGUAUCAGCUCAUCCAUGCCUUUUAAAAACAAAGGAAGAUCCUGCCUAGCAAGACCUGAGAAAUUUACAGAGCAGCUGAACUGUGGGUUCGAGGUCCGCCCCACCACCAGGGUGCUAGGGAUGGGCUCUGGAGAGGUGAGACGCUGGAGCUUGGCUGUGCUUCUCCCACCGUUUGGAUGCUGGGCUUUAGGGAAGCACUGAGCACACACCCCCCCAGAGGGUGGGUGGGGAAACGCAGUUUAAAAUGUGGGAAGCAGAAGCUGGUACUCCCCGACUCUCUGGCGUCUAGUCGCCGCUAGAAAACCACGGAGAAAUUGGGAAUGGGUACAUGGGUACUGGCGUCUCAGACCUGCUCUACCUUACCAAGUUUUUCACAUGCCUUUGUCACACAGCUCCUUUUAUAAAGGAGAGGUGUCAUUGGACGGGCUGUCUCCAGUGUUAUUUGUAGUGAACUGGGUCUGGUUAUUAGCCCCUCUCUAAGGCAAGGGCAGUACAUGAAAUUGGGAUUCGGGGAGUCUUAUUCUGUGACAUCUGUAGUGGGUGAGGGCCCUAGAGUGCAGAUCUCAUAGAAUGAAUAAGUAUAUGCUCGAAGAAUUUAAUUAGCUGACUUUGAAAUAGUAAAGCUGGGUCCCACACAACCCAGAGAACACCAGCAGCUGGGGUCCUCAGUCGUUGGAGUAAUCCCACCGUGACUGUUCUCUAACCACGGAGAGGCUGAACACCCAGGCCGAGCAGCUGGCUGCCUCAGCUGUCCAAAUCUGGUACUGAAAACCUGGGGAAGGGAGGGGAGGCUGUUCCGGAGUGCUGCUGGUCCAUAAUCAAUAAUGGAAAAUUGGAAACAUGGUCAGGAAUCAGCCAAGGAAUCAGCUGCAGUGGGAAAAAUGAACUCAGCGGCAAAAGAGAAAGCCAAGCAUCCAAACGGUGAGAAACCUUCCUCUUACUGCCCCUAGAAGUGUCUGCUCGCAUAUAAGAUAGUUUAUCCCACAUCGAUUAAGGCAAUUAAAAAAUAUAUAUAUCUUACACAGAAUUAAGCUAGAAAGGUAUCAUGAGGUGACCACAAACCCCAAGAGGAUGAUAAUGUUUCAAGGUCACAGGCCAGCAAAUGGAUCGUGUUGGAGCUAUAAUUAAGAUUCCAAAGUCAAGGUCCCAGUGUAAAUGUAAACUACACUAAUACACCUUCCCAAGAAAUAACUCUUGGAGCAUGAUCGAAUGGCCAAAGCCAUAAGGAUUAUUAACCCCUCUCGUGUUCAGUCAGCAUUCACUUUCAGAAAAAAGAGUACGGGGUAGCAGUCUCCUGGUGUCCAGGGUAGGUGCCAGGUUGAGGGUGUUUCUCUUGCCUGUUGCUGCAGACCUUGACAGCUAUUCACACAGUCCAAAGCAGAGAAGUAAUUUUUUGCCUAGAUUUGGGCCCCACAUCUAAGAAACAGUGCAGCAAGACUACAGAGCCACUCUGGCUGGUGCAGCCUUCAAACACACCUGAGUUUCUUCACAAGACAGACGUUUUCCUAGCAUUUCAGAGCUCUACUUUGGGCCACUGUCCUGAAAGGUAUCUUGUUUCCUGUCCUUGCCUGCUUUAAACACUGCCUAUCCACCACUAGGGGGCAUGAAGUCCCCAGUAGAGGGACCUGGCGAUUGUAAACUGGAAGGGGAAAAUUCCUGGCAUUCAGUUCUCAUCCUGGAACAUAUUUCUUCCAAAAGCAGCCUCAUCUGGAUGCCUGCAGGAGAGGUGUGUCAAUUUGUGUCAUAUGAUGAAUCUGGGAAAAUUGCUUCACCUGGAGGUUUGGUGGUGGUGGUGGCAGGGAGCCUAGCCCAGCAGAGAUGGCUGCAGCAGAGUUCUAAAUUCCCUGAGCCUAUGCAAUGUCAGACCCGUUCUGUAGACCCAACAUUCAAUAAUGUGACUCUUCAGGAGGUGAUGGGCAGGAAGUCACACUCCACAGUCACCAGUUUCUCAGAGAGAGUCACAGUUUCACCAUCCGUACUGAACACAAAACAAGGCAAACCCCAGAAUCUCAAUAAGCAAUGUACACUUCAGUACCCACACAGAUCAGAGCGUGGGUGGGACUGGCCAGAAAAUGGAGCCGUUGCCCUCUAGCUCUAUGGCCGCCUGAACUUGAGCUUCUGAACAUCAACAAACCACACGGACUAUGGGCUACACACUGUGUCCUAGGCAGUGGGGAAAUAGCAUGUCUCUAGCUGCUGAACAUUAUAUUCUAUUAAAGAUGCUAUACACAUGGAAGAGAUGUGAGCCUCCUGCGUAGUAUAGGACAUUGGGUUCUUUUCAACUAUAUUUACCACCUUAAAACUGAAGCACUCACGAGCCAGGUUAAGAUCACCUUUUGGGGGGUUGGGGAUUUAGCUCAGUGGUAGAGCUCUUGCCUAGCAAGCGGAAGGCCCUGGGUUUUCAGCUCCGAAAAAAAGGAAAAAAAAUCACCUUUUGGUUUAUCUGAUCCUGACUUAACUUUGGUACCUGGUAUCUGUCUAGAAAAUUGUCCAUUUCCUCCAGAUUUUCCAGUUUUGUUGAGUACAUUCUUUUGUAGUAGGAUCGGAUGAUUUUUUUUAAUUUACUCAGAUUCUGUAGUUAUGUCUCCCAUCCCAUUUCUGGUUUUGUUAAUUUGGAUACACUCUCUGGGCCCUCUGCUUAGUCUGGCUAAGGGUUUGUCUAUCUUGUUGCUUUUUCUCAAAGAACUAUCUCCUGGUUUUGUUGAUUCUUUGUAUAGUUCUUUUUGUUUCUACUUGGUUGAUUUCAGCCCUGAGUUUGAUUAUUUCCUGCUGUUCAAUCUAUUCCUCUUGGGUGAAUUUGCUUCUUUCUGUUCUAGAGCUUUUAGGUGUGCCAUCAAGCUGCUGAUAUAUGCUCUCUCCCAUUUCUUUUUGGAGGCAUUCAGAGCUAUGAGUUUUCCUCUUAGCACUGCUUUCAUUGUGUCCCAUAAGUUUGGGUAUGUUGUCCCUCAUUUUGAUUAAAUUCUAAGAAGUCUUUAAUUUCUUAAUUUCUUCCUUGACCAGGUUAUCAUUGAGUAGAGCAUUGUUCAGCCUCCAUGUAUAUGUGGGCUUUCUGUUGUUAUUGUUAUUGAAGACAAGCAUUAGUCCAUGAUGAUCUGAUAGGAUGCAUGGAAUCAUUUCAAUCUUCUUGUAUUUGUUGAGAUCUGUUUUGUGACCAAUUAUAUGGUCAGUUUUUCAGAAGGUACCAUGAGGUCCUAAAAAGAAGGUAUAUUCUUUUGUUUUAGGAUGAAAUGUUCUAUAACUAUCUGUUAAAUCUAUUUGAUUCCUAACUUCUGUUAGUUUCUCUGUGUCUCUGUUUAGUUUCUGUUUCCAUGAUCUGUCCAUUGGUGAGAAAGGGUUGUUAAAGUCUCCCACUAUUAUGGUGUGAUGUGCAAUGUGUUCUUUGAGGUUUAGUAAGGUUGCUUUUAUGAAUGUACGUGCCCUUGCAUUUGUAGCAUAGAUGUUGAGGAUUGAGCGUUCAUCUUGGUGGAUUGAAUGGUUUGGUGGCUGAAUGUAUAUGGGCUGGAUAACCAGGUGGGGCAGGUUCUGAAUGGCCAUUCCUUCAGUCUCUGUUCCAAACUUUGUCUCCAUAUCUCCUCCUAUGAAUAUUUUUGUUCCCCCUUCUAAGAAGCAUCUACACUUUAGCUGUCCUUCUUCUUGAGGUCCAUGUGGUCUGUGGAUUGUAUCUUGGGUUAUCCGACCUUUUGGGCUAAUAUCCACUUAUCAGUGAGUGCAUACCAUGUGUGUUUUUGUGAUUGUGUUACCUCACUCAGGAUGAUAUUUUCUAGUUCCAUCCAUUUACCUAUGAAUUUAAUGAAAUCAUUGUUUUUAAUAGCUGAGUAGUACGCCAUUGUGUAAUUUGUACCAUAUUUUGUGUAUCCAUUCCUCUGUUGAAGGGCAUCUGGGUUCUUUCCAGCUUCUGGCUAUAAUAAAUAAGGCUGCUAUGAACAUAGUGGAGCAUGUGUCCUUGUUAUAUGUUGGAACAACUUUUAGGUAUAUGCCCAGGAGUGAUAUAACUGGGUCCUCAGGUAGUACUGUGCUGAAUUUUCUGAGGAACCUCCAGACUGAUUUCCAGAGUAGUUGUACCAGCUCCCAAUCCCACCAGCAAAACCCUAAGGUUUUUAUCUUAGCCAUUCUCACUGGUGUGAGGUAGAAUCUCAGGGUUGUUUUGAUUUGCAUUUCCCUGAUGACUAAGGAUGUUGAACAUUUCUUUAGGUACUUUUUGGUCCAUUCAAUAAUCCUCAGCUGAGAAUGUUUUGUUUAGCUCUGUACCCUAUUUUUUAAUAGGGUGAUUUGGCUCUCUGGAGUCUAACUUCUUGAGUUCUUUGUAUAUUUUAGAUAUUAGUCCUUUAUCAGAUGUAGGAUUGGUAAAGAUAUUUUCCCAACCUGUUGGUUGCCAUUUUGUCCUAAUUACAGUGUCCUUUGCCUUACAAAAGCUUUGCAGUUUUAUGAAAUCCCAUUUGUCGAUUCUUGAUCUUAGAGCAUAAGCCAUUGGUGUUUUGUUCAGGAAAAUUUUCCCCAGUGCUCAUGUGUUCAAGACUCUUCCCCACUUUUUCUUCUAUUAGUUUGAGUGUUUCUGGUUUGAUGUGGGGGUCCUUGAUCCACUUGGACUUAAGCUUUGUACAUGGUGAUAAGAAUGGAUCGAUUUGCAUUCUACUGUAUGCUGACCUCCAAUUGAACCAGCACCAUUUGUUGAAAAUGCUAUCUUUUUUUCCAUUGGAUGGAUAUUCCUUUGUGGAAUAUCAAGUGACCAUAGGUGUAUGGGUUCAUUUCUGGGUCUUCAAUUCUAUUCCACUGAUUUACCUGCCUGUCUCUGUACCAAUACCAUACUGUCUUUAUCACUAUUGCUCUCUAAUACUGCUUGAGGUCAGGGAUGGUAAUUCCUGUGGCAUGAUGUCACGGGUGAGGCAGGUACAAGAUAGAAGGAGGCCUGUCAUUGGAUGAGAAGGAAGGACGGGUGGGAGAAAAGUUUGAAGGAAGAGGAGGAGACUGGAAUGGAAAGGAGGAAGAGACAGGAGGGACAGGGAGAGAAGCCAUGGCAGGACAGUAUGGCAGGUGACGUUAAGAUUCUGCUCUACGUAUUUACAGGUUGUUAUUAAUGUUCUUAAGGGAUGGAUUGUCCCGCGCUGUCUUGCCAGCAAGAAAACACGCGGGGACAUACGAAUCCUUGCUGCAGCCAAAACUUUUAUUUGAAUCUUAAGGAGUGCGCCGCGCGCCCGCAUGGCGCGGCUUAUAUACACCCUAGCGCAGCGCAUCCACACCUGAUUGGUCGCUUACCCAUGAUCUCAUUAGGCACGCCCCGGAGUGGGCAAAGACCUGGCACGAAGGCACUCUUGCACAUGCGCACACAGUUAACUUCCUGAAAGAAAAUCGGCUGGCGUGGCGGAGGCCAGCGCCAUCUUGUAAUGGCGGAAGCUAUCCUGGCCUUCCACGUGGGGCGCAGUGGAAGCCAGCACCAUCUUGUGGUGGCGAAUGUUAUAGCGGCCCUCUACAUCUCCCCCUUAUUAUUUUUUUUUUAUAACAAAUCAUGAUCACCCUAUCGCGUGCAAUGAGGAAACCUCAGCGAUGUGGAAGGGCUGAUCAAAGGAAUCAUUGAGUCUCUCUCAUCCCAGUGCAAUGGAUCCACAGAUCCACAGGGUGCAAGAGCAGAGAACUCAGAUACCGAGAGAGAGUCUCUCUCAUCCCAGUGCAAUGGAUCCACAGAUCCACAGGGUGCAAGAGCAGAGAACUCAGAUACCGACUAAUUUUAGAAGACAGAUAACCAAAUUUCAGGGGAGGCCCCUUGUUCAAAUGGCCACAAGUGCUUGAGUGACAACGACCUUGUCACGUUUCUGUUGAGAUCUGAGUUUGCAAACCAACCAUAGCAUGAACACUAAUCCACAGCAUAGGGCUGCACCAAACAGAGCCACUCCCAAUAAGUAGUGGGCACCUCAUUUGGUCCUCCUCAGCUGUUACCACCAAGGGCCGUAGUCAAGCCACUCCUAUAAUAAAAUUUUGAACUCCCAAUUGUUAGCAACUACUCCAGAAAGUUCACCCACUGUGUUUGUCUAACAAUAGAUUGGGGGAGGAUAACUCCAGACACUGUAGACACAAUGUCUGCAGCAGUAAUGGCUGCUACAAUAGCAGCGAAAGUGUCAAGGUCUUUUCCAGGACAGUUCAGGAUCAGUCAUUUUUCUCUGGAACAACCAGCAGGCAACGGAACCAUGUCUGAGAUCUGUAUAACCAGGACAGAGUUCCCCAGUCCACAGCAGCUUCACACAGGUGGCAUUCCUGUGAAGCUACAGUCUGUAAAAUGACCAGUUAAGGCAGCAAGAGUCACCAGGGAAAUGAGGGAGGCAGCAACGGCUGGAGUCCAGUCUUCUCCAGCAAGCAACUGUGCACAGAGCGUCAGAGAGCGGGCCAUAGUGGGACGGGAUACACGCAGCGGUAACACUGACUGUAGCAACGGCAAAAUCUCUGCGAUGACAAAGGAUGAAGGGGAAUCUUUCAUCUUCCUCUCAGGGCAGAGGAAUGACUCCAGGGACCCGAACCAGGAGAGCUGAAUCUUUUUUUUUUUUAAUUAACUUGAGAGAGCUGAAUCUUUAUGCAACCAGGAUCAGCAAGUCUCAGCAACCACCUCUGGCAGCUGGCACACUCUUGUAGCAUCCUGUAGAAAAAACACAAACAUUCCUUCUUCCCCAUAUAAAAUAUCUGGACAGGAUCAUGUCAAUAUGUGGAUCUCUCUAUUUCACCUAGGCAGAAGUAUGCCUAGUUGUAGGGUGUCAUAAACUUUGGCAUCCAAAUUUUAAAAUUGAAAUAAAAGGAGCAUUAUUUAGCAUACAGGGAUAACUCCCCCUUUUUAUUUAUUAAGAUAUAGUAAAGAUAUUAUUUAUUAAGGUAAGUCCUCGAGGAUUAAAUUGAGGACACUGAGCACUUGUAUUUAUAAAGAAUGAGAUUUUUUGACUAAUUGUUCCUAUGUAAGGCCUACAAUCUGUCUGGUAUCAUUGUCCUCCCUUGUUAAGGAGCCCAGGCAAUCCAGUUUGAGUUCUUAAAUGGCCUAUAAAGGAACAGUAUUUAGUGCUCUUAACCACUAAGCCAUCUCUCUAGCACCUCACAAACUUUAUUUACCUAAACAUAAGCAUUAAUUAGAAAUGUCAAAUCCUGUAAAUAUUGUCCAAUUUCAGUCUUACUAGAAAUCUCUGAGCUGGCAGGGCGAGGCUGAUAAUUUAAAGUAAGCAAAUGGAGUCUUCUUUUUUUCAUAUCAACUCUAUUACCAUUUUCAAAGUUAGGUAUGAGUCUAAGGUUUAAUUUAGUUGUCUGAGCCAGAGCACUGAAAGGACAGUGAGUUGUCAGACAUUCACACUGAAAUCACUUAUUGAUUUUAAGUGGAAAACCUGUCUCUAAUAAAGCAUUAAGUAAUUGAAAUCAAUUGUAAACCACAAGCCACACAUUGGCUAUCAGUAUGUGAAUUGAAAGCUUGAUUUUUUAAACAUUUUAAAAACAGUGGCUACAGCACGUAAUUUAAUAGUCUGUGUUGAAGCAGGGGAAACUCAGGAGAAUAAACAAGUGAUCCAAUCAUAUAUGUAGUCUUUUCAUUAGAUGAACCACUUAUAAAUACACUAAGCGCAUUUCCUAUGGGUUGUAUGCACAAAUAUAUAGGAAGUACAAAAGCAUGUAAAGAGUAAAAUUAUCAAUUUUGUCUGAAAAAUUUGUAUAUGUAAUAGGCCAAAUAUCAGUAUUUUGUAAUAACCAAUUAACUGUUGUUUGGAAUAAGAUAUGUUUUACCAGGUUUUCUUUUUAAAAUACUUCCAUGACUCUAGUCUACAAUUUUGUAUUAACACAACUGAAGCUUUACUUCUAAUGUGGAUAACAAAGGCUUAAGUCCUCUGGUAAGGUGAGGUACUUAGCCAAUUAACAUAUCUUUAGAAGCUUAAAAUUAGUUUCAGAUAUUCUUUUCUGGAGUAGUGUCACAGCUACUCCCCAAAUAUUAAAGCUCAUUUUGAGAGCAAAGGUUUGUAGUAAAAAUUUCCAUAUACACUGAAAGAUUUAAAGUUCUAACUCCUUACAUUGAAGAAGCAACAAAAUUACAUAAUAUAAGGCUGUUAGCCAUUCCUAAUGAUAUAACUUUAUGGGCUCUCUAAAAUUAUAAGCAAGCUCACAAAAUGAAAACUCAAAAUCAAUCCUCUAAAUCUAUCUUGAAAUGGCAGUUGGAGUAAACAGACUGGCUGUAAUGUUCUCACAAGUUCCAAAACCUCAUCAAUCCUUCGUAAAUCCUGUAACAAUCUCUACCUGUUUGAUUUUUCCUCAAUUAUAAAUAAGUUUGAGUUAGUCAAUGUAACACUGGCAAUCCUUAAUCAAAUCCUUAAGUUCUCCUUGUAACACCAGAGCACAACCACAACUUUGGGAAGUCACCUGAGUUCUGAGUAUGUGACUAGGCAGCUGUUCUUGGGGCAGUGGAAUUAGCAUCAAAAUAUAGAUAGCUUCAGGGCAAACCACAACUUUGGAAAGCAAAACUCGACCUCCAACAAUCUAGUACAAAGUUUGACUGCCAAUUCCUAUAUAUGAACGCACGAUGGUGUAGUCUCCAAUACCUCAACAAAGAGACAUUGUCCUAAGUUCUUUUAGAAGCCUGGUUUCUAGAAUAAGAAUUCCAUAAAAAUAUUAUCUCAAUUUAGAUCUGUUUCCCUAGGUUGGUUCAUGCCACAUGUUGUCUAGAAUGACUCUAUCUAAAUUACCAGCUUUAUGUCAACUUUUCGUUGCCAAUAUUAUACCUUUUUAACCAUAUCCAAUAACUUGAAAGCCAAUAGUCCAUAACCAAGGCAAGUAGAGCAUAUUUAUACAUUUAAAACCAAUCAGAAACAAAUUGAAGUGACUACACAUAUCUUUAAUAUUUAGACCAAACACCAUUUUUUACCUUUUUAGCUAUGAUUUUAAGAGAAGCACCUUGUCACCUGUUGAGUCCAAUAAUCACAGUCAAAGAUUUUUCUAAGAUUAACAGCCAUCAGUCUUAUUACCAUAGAAGCUGUGAAGCUCCUGGUGCCUUUAGGAUCGGCUAGUAUAAACAUUUAGCCAGCCCCCGGGGGAGCUUGCCCAGUGGACUUAGGCUUCUAGCUACAGAUGUAGGGUCCAAAAGCCAAUUGAAACUGCUUUUUAUUCAUUGUUCCCUUCUUGAAACGAAUUAAGACCAUAUCAAGAUGUGAACGACCAGCAGAUAAAGUUUUUAUCAUUUUUUUCUUUGAACAUGAAACACAAAAUAUUUAAGCGACAAGAAACAAAAACCACAGACAUAAACUGACAUACAAGGACAUCCUGGUGCACCAAGGACAGACAAUACACAUAGAGGGAAAAACUAGAUGGUGUCAGCAGAAAGGUAGGAUUUUCUCUUUCCCACCACUUUCACGGUGACUAUCCAACUCGAGUGGAGUUGAUAUGGAUGAUGGAUUGUCUCAAUUGCUGGACUAGUCCAUCAACGUGUUGAAACCCAAUUCCUGUAAGAUACUGAGAUAUAUUAUCUGAGCAGCACGACUGACAUUCACAAAUGGUAUGGAAGUGAAACACAGUCCUGAAUAUUUUUACUCACAACCCAAUUACAUUAACUCCAUCAAGCUAUGCAUGGGCAUUGAGAUGUCCUUUUGUUUGAUUCUCCUGAAUAAAUUUUCAGGCGGUCUACCUCUAUCAAGUCUGAUCAGUAUGACUCUGUGAAACUUCCAGGGCCUAAUCACACCUUUUACAAGCACAAAGACAAAAUUUUUCUCCCAAAAUACUGUGUUCCUUUUAUCUCCUCCCUUUUUCUCUCCUGGGGCGUUUUUUCCACACUCUCUCACCUCCGCAGAGGGGACUGUCUGCUUGUCUUUCCUUGAGCUCUUUAAUUUUUUACCGAACUCUGUUUCUGACACGCCACCUUGCCCCUCCUCCCGCGCUCUUUGCUUUGCUGUUACAGCUGGGCGGCUCCCAUGCGACCUCUGACGCUGCCUGGUGGUAGCUAGAAACUCAAAGGCCAAUAGAAAAAACCCGAGGGCUGCCAAAACAAUAAUAGAGGCUUCCGCCACAUCUAGCAAGGGAGUGAGGUGGAACAGAUCAAGGCUAAACAUUGUCUCUCAGGGCCUACCCGCGUCCUGUAGCUUCUGGAUUCUCUCCACGUACGGAGGGACCUCUCGGCACCUGGCGAUGGUGUGGCUUUCCAGGUUUCAGCACCAAAUAUCCCACGCUGUCUCACCAGCAAGAAAACACGCGGGGACAUACGAAUCCUUGCUGCAGCCAAAACUUUUAUUUGAAUCUUAAGGAGAGCGCCGCGCACCCGCAUGGUGCGGCUUAUAUACACCCUAGCGCAGCGCAUCCACACCUGAUUGGUCACUUACCCAUGAUCUCAUUAGGCACGUCCCGGAGUGGGCAAAGACCUGGCACGAAGGCACUCUUGCACAUGCGCACACAGUUAACUUCCUGAAAGAAAAUCGGCUGGCGUGGCGGAGGCCAGUGCCAUCUUGUAAUGGCGGAAGCUAUCCUGGCCUUCCACGUGGGGUGCAGUGGAAGCCAGCGCCAUCUUAUGGUGGCGAAUGUUACAACAGCCCUCUACAAUGGAUGUGUACUGGGCUUUGUGUAUUUAGGUGGGCAAUUAUAUCUUAUCAAUUGGGUCAAAGGUUAUUGUGUUGUGUGUUCUUUUAUGUGAGGGUUUGAGUGUAGGAAAGUGUGUGACUGUUAGAGACACUGGGCCACCACAGAAUUGGGAUGUGUGUUUCUGUCAUGGAAACCUGCCUUGGGAACUAGAUAGGUAGAGGGGUUGCUGCCAGGCUCAGAGAGAGGCCUUCGGCAGUGUGAUAGGGGAUGGAGCAAAGCGGGUGAGAGGCUUUGCUGACUGAGAUUAAGGUAUCUAGCAGAUAUCUUGGGGCACUGAGGUGCCAGACCUAGUGGGGGAUAAAAGACUGUUUUAUUUUUUAUUUUUUUACAGCAACAGAUUCCCCCAGAAGUUCUUUUAUUGUUGUGAAUAGUUUUUACUAUGCUGGGUUUUUGGUUUUUCCAAAUGAAUUUGCAAAUUGCUCUUUCUAACUCUAUGAAGAAUUGAGUUGGAAUUUUGAUUGGGGAUUGCAUUAAAUCUGUAGAUUGAUUUUGCCAAGAUGGCCAAUUUUACAAUAUUAAUUCUGCCAAUCCAUGAGCAUGGGAGAUCUUUUCAUCUUCUGAGAUCUUCAAUUUCUUUCUUCAGAGACUUGACGUUCUUGUCAUACAGAUCUUUCACUUGCUUGGUUAGCGUCAUACCGAGGUAUUUUAUGUUAUUUGUGACUAUUGUGAUGGGUGUCAUUUCUCUAAUUUCUUUCUUAGCCUGUUUAUUCUUUGAGUAGAGGAAGGCUACUGAUUUGUUUGAGUUAAUUUUAUAUCAAGUUAUUUUACUGAAGUUGUUUAUUAAGCCUACUAGUUCUCUACUGGAACUUUUGCGGUCACCUAAGUAUACUAUCAUACCAUCUGCAAAUAGUGAUAUUUUGACCUCUUCCUUUCCAAUUUGUAUUACUUUGACCUCCUUUUCUUGUCUGAUUGUUCUGGCUAGGACUUCAAGUACUAUAUAGAAUAGGUAGGGAGAGAGUGGGUAUCCUUGUCUAGUUCCUGAUUUUAGUGGGGUUGCUUCAAGUUUCUCUCCCUUUAGUUUGAUAUUGGCUCCUGGUUUGCUGUAUAUUGCUUUUACUAUGUUUAGAUAUGGGCCUUGAAUUCCUGAUUUUUUCAAGAGUUUUAUCAUGAAGAGUUGUUGGAUUUUGUCAAAUGCUUUUUCAACAUCUAAUGAAAUGAUUAUGUGGUUAUUAUCCUUGAAUUUGUUUAUAUAGUGGAUUACACUGAUGAAUUUACAUAUAUUGAACCAUCCCUGCAUCCCUGGGAUGAAGCCUACUUGAUCAUGAUAGAUGAUCAUUUUGAUGUGUCCUUGGAUUCGGUUUAUGAGAAUUUUAUUGAGUAUUUGUGUGUUGAUACUCAUAAGGGAAAUGGGUCUGACGUUCUCUUUCUUUGUUGGGUCUUUGUGUGGUUUAGGUUUAAGUGUAAUUGUGGCUUCAUAGAAGGAAUUGGGUAGUGUUCCUUCUGUUUCUAUUUUGUGGAAUAGUUUGGAGAGUAUCGCUAUUACGUCUUCUAUAAAAGUCUGAUAGAAUUCUGCACUAAACCCAUCUGGUCCUAGGCUUUUUUUGAUUGGGAGACUUUUAAUAACUGCGUCUAUUUUUUAGGAGUUAUGUGACUGUUUAGCUGUUUAUCUGAUCUUGAUUUAAUAUACAUACAGUCACCAAAGCCAAACAAUAUUGCUGGUGCCAAAAAGUGCAUGCUGACAGGAGCCUAGAUAGCUGUCUCCUGAGGCUCAGUCAGAGCCUGAGAAAUACAGAGGGCAAUGCUAGCAGCAAACCAGUGAACUGAGAAUGCGGUCCCCAAUGGAGGAGUUAGAGAAAGAACUGAAGGAGCUGAAGGGGUUUGCAACCCCAUAAGAACAGCAAUACUAACCAACCAGGGCUCCCAGUGACUAAACCACCAUUCAAAGAGUACACAUGGACAGCCCCAUGGCUCCUGCUGUGUAUGGAGCACAGGAUGACCCCAUUGGGCACCAAUGGGAGGAGAAGCCCUUGGUCUUGCCAAAGCUCAACCUCCCGGUGUAGGAGAAUGUCUGGGCAGAGAGGUGGGAAGGGGGUAAGUGGAUGGGUGCGAAACACCCUCAUAGAAGAAGGGGGAGAGGAGAUGGGAUAGGGAGCUUAUGGACGGGAAACUGGGAAAGAGGAUAACAUGUAAAUUUUAAAAAUCUUGGUUUUUUUUUUUUUUUUUUUUUUUUUAAAGAUAGCUUUUUGGAAAGUUGGUUUUUGGAAGCCCAAGGGAAAUUCAUUCAUACUUUAUUCUUCGUGAUUUGAGGUUUUCCUAGUGUUUUGUAGUUUUGAGGAUUGAACCUAGGGCCUUUUGCAUACUAGGCAAGUGCUCCACCACUGAGUGGACAUCCUCACUUUUCUGGGUUUUUUUUUUCUUUUUUUCUUUUCUUUUCUUUUUUUUUUUUUUCAGAGCUGGGGACCGAACCCAGGGCCUAUGUGCUUGCUAGGCAAGCGCUCUACCACUGAGCUAAAUCCCCAACCCCCACUCUUCCAUUUUUAAUCUGUCUUCUGUGCUAUUGGGCCUGGUAGACGCAACAGAACUACAGUGACUUUCCUAAGG